GAUCAUGGCUCAGGAUGAAUGCUGGCGGCGUGCCUAACACAUGCAAGUCGAGCGGCAGCGAGUUUUACACUGAAUUCUGGAAACUUCUGGGUAAUAUAGAAGAUUUAUUCAAGAAUUUUGUGUAAAAUGUCGGCGAGCGGCGGACGGCUGAGUAACGCGUAGGAAUUUGCCCCAAAGUGAGGAAUAACUGCCCGAAAGGGUAGCUAAUGCCGCAUAUGGUCUUCGGAUUAAAGCCUUCGGGCG
rnacentral:rRNA from 1 species